AAGCCAGACUCCUACGGGAGGCAGCAGUGGGGGAUAUUGCACAAUGGGGGAAACCCUGAUGCAGCGACGCCGCGUGUGGGAAGACGGUCUUCUGGAUUGUAAACCACUGUCCCCAGGGACGAAAAUGACGGUACCUGACUAAGAAGCCCCGGCUAACUACGUGCCAGCAGCCGCGGUAAUACGUAGGGGGCAAGCGUUAUCUGGAUUUACUGGGUGUAAAGGGAGCGUAGACGGCAAUGCAAGCCAGAUGUGAAAGCCCGGGGCUCAACCCCGGGACUGCAUUUGGAACUGUGUAGCUGGAGUGUCGGAGGGGCAGGCGGAAUUCCUGGUGUAGCGGUGAAAUGCGUAGAUAUCAGGAGGAACACCGGUGGCGAAGGCGGCCUGCUGGACUGCGACUGACGUUGAGGCCCGAAAGCGUGGGGAGCAAACAGGAUUAGAUACCCCUGUA
rnacentral:rRNA from 1 species